rnacentral:rRNA from 1 species
GACGAACGCUGGCGGCGUGCCUAAUACAUGCAAGUAGAACGCUGAAGAGAGGAGCUUGCUCUUCUUGGAUGAGUUGCGAACGGGUGAGUAACGCGUAGGUAACCUGCCUUGUAGCGGGGGAUAACUAUUGGAAACGAUAGCUAAUACCGCAUAACAAUGGAUGACACAUGUCAUUUAUUUGAAAGGGGCAAUUGCUCCACUACAAGAUGGACCUGCGUUGUAUUAGCUAGUAGGUGAGGUAAUGGCUCACCUAGGCGACGAUACAUAGCCGACCUGAGAGGGUGAUCGGCCACACUGGGACUGAGACACGGCCCAAACUCCUACGGGAGGCAGCAGUAGGGAAUCUUCGGCAAUGGGGGCAACCCUGACCGAGCAACGCCGCGUGAGGGAAGAAGGUUUUCGGAUCGUAAAGCUCUGUUGUAAGUCAAGAACGGGUGUGAGAGUGGAAAGUUCACACUGUGACGGUAGCUUACCAGAAAGGGACGGCUAACUACGUG